rnacentral:rRNA from 1 species
CACGGGGUUGCGAGCGUUGUCCGGAAUUACUAGGCGUAAAGGGCAGGCAGGCGGAUCCAUAAGUUUAUCGUUUAAGGCGUCGGCUUAACCGGCGUAGGGCGGUAGAUACUGUGGAUCUGGAAUGCGGUUGGGGAAGACAGAAUUCCUGGUGUAGCGGUGGAAUGCGCAGAGAUCAGGAGGAAUACCGAAGGCGAAGGCAGUCUUCCAAGCCGUUAUUGACGCUAAACUGCGAAGGUGUGGGUAUCAAACAGGAUUAGAUACCCUGGUAGUCCCUGAG